rnacentral:rRNA from 1 species
CCUACGGGUGGCAGCAGUGAGGAAUAUUGGUCAAUGGGCGCAAGCCUGAACCAGCCAAGUAGCGUGAGGGAUGACGGUCCUACGGAUUGUAAACCUCUUUUGUCGGGGAGCAAGGCCCGCCACGUGUGGCGGGAAGGAGAGUACCCGACGAAAAAGCAUCGGCAAACUUCGUGCCAGCAGCCGCGGUAAUACGGAGGAUGCGAGCGUUAUCCGGAUUUAUUGGGUUAAAAGGGUGCGUAGGCGGAAGGUUUAGUCAGCGGUAAAAUGUCGGUGCUCAACACCGGCCUGCCGUUGAAACUGGACGUCUUGAGUGAGCGAGAAGUAUGCGGAAUGCGUGGUGUAGCGGUGAAAUGCAUAGAUAUCACGCAGAACUCCGAUUGCGAAGGCAGCAUACCGGCGCUCAACUGACGCUGAGGCACGAAAGCGUGGGGAUCGAACAGGAUUAGAUACCCGGGUAGUC